CCUACGGGUGGCAGCAGUGGGGAAUAUUGCGCAAUGGGCGAAAGCCUGACGCAGCGACGCCGCGUGAGGGAUGAAGGUCUUCGGAUCGUAAACCUCUGUCAGCAGGGAAGAACGGUCACUGUGCUAAUCAGCAGUGAAUUGACGGUACCUGCAAAGGAAGCACCGGCUAACUCCGUGCCAGCAGCCGCGGUAAUACGGAGGGUGCGAGCGUUAAUCGGAAUUACUGGGCGUAGAGCGAGCGUAGGCGGUAGUGCAAGUCACGGGGGAAAUCCCCGCGCUCAACGUGGGAACUGCCUUUGAAACUGGAAGACUGGAGUGUGGGAGAGGAAAGUGGAAUUCCAGGUGUAGGAGUGAAAUGCGUAGAUAUCUGGAGGAACAUCAGUGGCGAAGGCGACUAUCUGGCACAUAACUGACGCUGAGGAGCGAAAGCGUGGGUAGCAAACAGGAUUAGAUACCCCGGUAGUC
rnacentral:rRNA from 1 species